GAUGGGUUGCUGGUGUGCCUCGCGGUCUUCAAAACCGUUGUAAGACAAUAUUUGUCUUGGGUGGGUUCGAUUCCCACCGUCUU
rnacentral:tRNA from 1 species